rnacentral:rRNA from 1 species
AACGAACGCUGGCGGCAUGCCUAACACAUGCAAGUCGAACGAUCCCUUCGGGGAUAGUGGCGCACGGGUGCGUAACGCGUGGGAAUCUGCCCUUGGCUUCGGAAUAACAGUUAGAAAUGACUGCUAAUACCGGAUGAUGUCUUCGGACCAAAGAUUUAUCGGCCAGGGAUGAGCCCGCGUAGGAUUAGGUAGUGGGUGAGGUAAAGGCUCACCAAGCCGACGAUCCUUAGCUGGUCUGAGAGGAUGCUCAGCCACACUGGGACUGAGACACGGCCCAGACUCCUACGGGAGGCAGCAGUGGGGAAUAUUGGACAAUGGGCGCAAGCCUGAUCCAGCAAUGCCGCGUGAGUGAUGAAGGCCUUCGGGUCGUAAAGCUCUUUUACCAGGGAUGAUAAUGACAGUACCUGGAGAAUAAGCUCCGGCUAACUCCGUGCCAGCAGCCGCCGUAACAC